rnacentral:rRNA from 1 species
UACAGAGGUCCCAAGCGUUGUUCGGAUUCACUGGGCGUAAAGGGUGCGUAGGCGGUCGGGUAAGUCUGAUGUGAAAUCUCACAGCUUAACUGUGAAACUGCAUUGGAUACUAUCCGGCUAGAGGAAUGGAGGGGAGACUGGAAUACUUGGUGUAGCAGUGAAAUGCGUAGAUAUCAAGUGGAACACCAGUGGCGAAGGCGAGUCGCUGGACAAGUAUUGACGCUGAGGUGCGAAAGCGUGGGGAGCAAACAGG